UGGCCGCGGCAUACCUUUUACACGUGAAACACUUCGAACGGCAGACACGGAGCUUGCUCUGGUGGCGAGUGGCGAACGGGUGAGUAAUAUAUCGGAACGUACCCUGGGAGUGGGGGAUAACGUAGCGAAAGUUACGCUAAUACCGCAUACGAUCUACGGAUGAAAGUGGGGGAUCGCAAGACCUCAUGCUCGUGGAGCGGCCGAUAUCUGAUUAGCUAGUUGGUAGGGUAAAAGCCUACCAAGGCAUCGAUCAGUAGCUGGUCUGAGAGGACGACCAGCCACACUGGAACUGAGACACGGUCCAGACUCCUACGGGAGGCAGCAGUGGGGAAUUUUGGACAAUGGGCGAAAGCCUGAUCCAGCAAUGCCGCGUGAGUGAAGAAGGCCUUCGGGUUGUAAAGCUCUUUUGUCAGGGAAGAAACGGUGAGGGCUAAUAUGUCUUGCUAAUGACGGUUCCUGAA
rnacentral:rRNA from 1 species